CCCAGAAGGGCACAUCUUCCCUUCACACUCAGGUCUCCCCCACACCUGAGGGUCACCCCCACACCUGAGGGUCACCCCUACACACCUGAGGGCCACAUCCACACACCUGAGGGUCACACUCCUACACCGGAGGGUCACCCCCACACACCUGAAGCCACAUCCACAUACCUGAGGGUCACCUCCACACCUGAGGGUCACCCUCAUAUACCUGAGGGCCAUAUCCACACCUGAGGAUCACCCCCACACCUGAGGGUCACCUUCACACACUUGAGGGUCACCCCUACACACCUGAGGGCCACAUCCACAUACCUGAGGGUCACCCCCACACCUGAGGGUCACACUCCUACACUUGAGGGUCACCCUCACACACCUGAGGGUCACCCCCACACACCUGAGGCCACAUCCACAUACCUGAGGGUCACCCCCACACCUGAGGGUCACCCUCAUAUACCUGAGGGCCAUAUCCACACCUGAGGGUCACACCCCACACCUGAGGGUCACACCCCUACACCUGAGGUCACCCCCACACCUGAGGGUCACACCCCCACACCUGAGGGUCAUACCCCCACACCUGGGGUCACCCCCACAUCUGAGUGUCACACCCCUACACCUGAGGUCACACCCACACCCAAGGGUCACACCCACAGCUGAGGGUCACCCUUACACUAGGGGUGAUUCCUCACCUGGCUCACUUUGGUGUCUUCUGGGCUGGGGUCUCAGAGGUGGCCUCCACGUGGCAGGAGGGAAAGUGGCUGUGGGGCUGUCUGUGCGCCGUCAGGAAACGUGUAUUCUCAGGCGCCCUGCCUUUCCUGACCUCGGGAAGUCCCUGGGCUGCAGGCGGUGUGUGUUGAGUCACACUGGACACGCCGCCCCCCCGACCCCUGCCAGCAGUGCCAUCUUCCUCCUGGAGCCGGGGGCUUCCCGAUGGACAGCGUGUCAGGUGCGGGCCCAGGGCACGGUGGGCAGAGCUAUGGCUGGCGGUGUGGCAGGCCUGGCAUUUGUCCAGGGCUCUCGGAGCAUGUGCAGACACGCUUGGGCCCGCAGCGGCCCCUCCAAGUGCGCCAUAGACGGGAGCAGACCCUGGACGCCCUGGGUCCCUCUGGCCACCUCCCCCAGGCCUCGCGUGGCGCGGCUGAGCGCCACUCCACGGAAGGGGCCGGGGGUGAGCCAAUGCCCGUGCCAGCCCUUAGCCAGGUGACUUGGAUGCCCCUCCACAAGGAGAUGAGCGGCGGCGGCGCUUCUGAGUCUGCCAAGCGAACUGCAAGGCCUGCACUCGGGGCGUACAGACAGCUAAUAGCCGAGGGCACAGAUCUUCAUCCCCACCCUCAGCCAUGUCUCAUCGCAGUCCCCUUCCACAUGCGCACCUGCCACAGGCAGCAGGACACGGAGACGGUUACAAGCAGUGGCCGCAUGGAUGCCCCUGGGAAGGCCCUGCAGACUGGGCCCUGGGCCGGGACCACCACAGCCGGAUUCGCCUACGUGGGGCCUUCAUCCUUCUACGCAGAGCGGAUGUCCUGGGGGGUCCACAUGGCGAUCUCCAAGGAGCACAUGGGGAGUAGCAUCCAUGUGGAAUGAACUCACCACUCAAGUCCCCCUCCCCAACUACAGUCCGCGUGGCACCACCCACACCCUUGGGGGACCUGCCCUCCCUGGCAGUAGCACCUGCCACGUCCUGUUGGAGGCUUCGGGGGCUGAGCACAGCCGCAGUUGGUCCACAUGUGCGUGACCGCAGCUCACCUUUUCUGACAGCAGCAGGUGCAGCAGGCUGGCUGUCACAGGUGCUCCCACAGGCACUUGGCUCCGCCCCAGCGCUGCCCGCCCUCUGGUCAGGCUUCCACACUCGCUCCCACCUCCCGGCCAUCAGCCAGGGCCUGUGUCCUGGGCUCCCUGCCCCACCGGCAUCCCCACUCUCUCUCAUUCUAGAAGGCUGGGCUUUCCUGGGUCAGUGAAGGUAGAAAUCCUUGGUGGCUCUCUGGGGGGACAGGCCAUGGGGGAACAGGAAAGACCAGAAAUAAAAAUACAUUAAUUAAUACA
rnacentral:lncRNA from 12 species